GUGUGGCUCCGGCCCAGAGGCGAAUGUUGGAAACUCCACCCGCUUUCAUCUUUCUGUAGACGCGACUCUCCACCAACUUUCAGAUCCAGCUUUCUAUGCCCUGCUUGCUUUAGCUGCUGGGCUGCUGCUGAUGGUGACAUUGGUCCUAGUUAAAGUUUACAAGAAUAAAUGUCACAAAACAUUGAAAGAGAGAAAAGCUUCCAGAUAAAGAAUCGAAGCUUCGGUUUGCAGACACAUCAGCUGCAGAUGUUUUAGAGGACGUCCAAAGCUUCGUCUGCGGGGGUCGUGGGGACGAUAUGAAAUAAUUCUCAAUGGACUAUUUAAGCCUAAAUUAAUGUGAAUCUUUAUUUAAGUACUCAGAUUAGAUUUUUUAGGUCUUAUUUCAGAGCAAUUUUCAUUUGUCAGAGGUGAAAAAAAAGGGAAAGGAGGACAAACAGCUAAACCAGCAAAAUAAAAUAAUUAUCUCACAAAUGAGGAAACGCAAUUGUAUCUGUAAAAAUGAACAAAACAUGACAGGUGUAAGCAGUGUGAGAAAUAUCUAAACUCUAAACUGCACAUCUAAAUGAUAGAAUAAAUGUGA